rnacentral:rRNA from 1 species
UCGCAUCUGUGCAUGCAGCAUAUCAAUAAGGGAGGAAAAGAAACUAACAAGGAUUCCCCUAGUAACGGCGAGUGAAGCGGGAAGAGCUCAAAUUUGAAAUCUUAAAGGGUUUCCCUUUACGAAUUGUAGUUUAAAGAAGUGUUUUCUGUUGAGGUUUUGGUAAAAGUUCUUUGGAAUAGGACAUCAUAGAGGGUGAGAAUCCCGUAUUUGACCUUUACUUUCAACUUUGUGAUACACUUUCAAAGAGUCGGAUUGUUUGGGAAUGCAGUCCAAAAUGGGUGGUAAAUUUCAUCUAAAGCUAAAUAUUAGGCGAGAGACCGAUAGCGAACAAGUACCGUGAGGGAAAGAUGAAAAGAACUUUGAAAAGAGAGUUAAACAGUACGUGAAAUUGUCAAAAGGGAAGCGUUUGACACCAGUGUUGUUUUUCUGAAAAUCAAUUAAAGAACUGUUUAUGCUAAGCUGUUUAGACUUUAUCAGCUAACUGUUUAGUUUUGAGCUUUUCUUUAAUGCACUUUUCAGUUAACAAGUCAACAUCAAUUUCUUUUGCUGUAAAAAAGUUUGAGGAAGGUGGCUUGAGAUUCGUCUUAAGUGUUUAUAGCCUCUUGCCUAUGCAGUCGGAGAGAUUGAGGUCUGCAGCGUAGAUCCUUCGGGGCUAAAUGCAUUUGUGCUAAGUUAUAGCAUUUUAUAGACAACUUGUUGACUAUGAUUUGUCUUGUAGCUUACUCGCUUAUGUUAUUUUACCUACGCUUAGGAUGUUGACUGAUAUGUAGUCGUA